rnacentral:lncRNA from 1 species
UUUUAUAUUUAAGGAAUGUAAUGCUUCUUUAACUCUGUUAUGAUUAAUAAAGUUAAGUUAUUUUACUUAACUUGAGUAUAUGUGAUUUAAGUAAGUAUGCUCUGGUCAUUUCCUUAUAAGAUGACGUAUGGUCCAUGACAAGUGGUAUCAAAGCACGAUUUUAGGACAUCUUUUGAAUACGAGGCUUACGGUUACAUGAGACUUAGAUAGAUUUGUGAAACAUAGUGAAAAAUAUCUUUAAAUUCGAAUUUUAUCAAUGUAGGAAAUGGUAAGGAUACUGAGAGAGCAAGCACAUCAGGUUCUAGAAGACUGGAUCGAGCAGAGUAUAAAUAGACUCAUGCAUAUAGUCAAAGGCUUGGCUAUGGUGGUCGGUCAACACAUAAUCCAUAGCCAAAGUGUUACUAAUGUUAAUAAUGCUAGUACCAAUAACACCCAGCUGGUGGAGGGAAAUAAUGGAAAACUCAUUGAAAUAUUCAAGAGGAUAAACCCACCACAAUUUGCUGAAGCAACCGACUCGAUAUUAGCCGAGUAGUGGAUCAUGGAGUU